rnacentral:rRNA from 1 species
CCUACGGGAGGCAGCAGUGAGGAAUAUUGGUCAAUGGCCGGAAGGCUGAACCAGCCAUGCCGCGUGAAGGUCAGUGCCCUAUGGGCGUUAAACUUCUUUUGUGCGGGAGCAAUAAUGGUCACGUAUGGCCAGACGAGAGUACCGUACGAAUAAGCAUCGGCUAACCACGUGCCAGCAGCCGCGGUAAUACGGGGGAUGCAAGCGUUAUCCGGAUUUAUUGGGUUUAAAGGGUGCGUAGGCUGUGAGGUAAGUCAGCGGGGAAAUGCCCCCGCGCAACGGGGUGAAGUGCCAUUGAUACUGCCUUGCUGGAAUGCGGAUGCCGUGGGAGGAAUGUGUGGUGUAGCGGUGAAAUGCAUAGAUAUCACACAGAACACCGAUUGCGAAGGCAUCUCACGAAUCCGCGAUUGACGCUGAUGCACGAAAGCGUGGGUAUCAAACAGGAUUAGAUACCCCGGUAGUC